CAUAGCCAUGAGGACACCCGUUACCCGCAUGGCACAGCGGAGGGAGACAUUUGAGGAGAAGAUGGAUGAGCUCCCUGUCACCUCCCUCUGCUCCAAUCACAGCGUGCCAUCUGCCCAACAGCAGCUGGGCCAAAUAUCCAGUUAAAAGAAAUAUGGCUGUGUACAGAUUCCUAAGCCAAAGCUGUGGACCGGUGUCGGCGGCUGAGGGACACUUCCAGCAUUGAGACAGAAGAUGAAGCAAGUGUCCAAAAAAGGCAGCCCCGACGCCCAAGGAGGUUCAUGACAGAUUCUUCAAGCUAUGAUGAAUCUGUUGCACGACCAGAUAAACUGUCCAGGACGGAGCGUGAGUCUGGAAGCCCUGUCUGGAAGUUAAAAUCUCAGCAGAUAACACUUCCUCCACCACCUGCAUGAAACCAGCUGGUUGCCCAGAGCAGGAUGAGUCUUUAGUGACCC